ACACAUCGCGUUGCCCCCCACCACACUUCCCUAAUGGGUACUCAUGGUGCUUGGGGGCGGAUAUUGGCCUCCCGUGCUUUUGGUGCGGUUGGCCUAAAUAGGAGUCCCCUUUGGUUGACACAUGGCUAGUGGUGGUUGUAUAGACCCUUGUCUUGUGCUGUGUGUUUUGAGCCGUAUGGAAAAAUCCUCAUC
rnacentral:rRNA from 1 species